CCGACUAAAACACUCGACUCCUUCGAGGAAACUGACACAAACAUUACCUUUGUACGGCAGGGAGUUGCUGAUUCGUAUUUUCACCGUCCCGCUGAUAGACUCCCCCGGACUGUAAACCACCUUGUUGUUGGCGAAAGUAAUGUCAAAUUCUUGAAGCUUGCCCAUGACGGCGCUCCGCUACUCUCGCCUUGGGGACGCGAUGCUUGGCGCUCACCUGCUGCUAUUUUGCAUCACCAUACCCUCGGCUGUCAAAGAUCCUGGAAUGGGGGCCUGAGACCGAUGUCUCCAUGACAACAGACGAACACAAUGGUUGCCAGGGCUCCGUGCAUGAAUUCCAUGGACACGUCCUCAUUUUCAUCCAACCACUGCAGCACGAACUGAAGAUACCAUCUACAAAUAGUAAAAACAAAACUUUUACACCAACUCUUACCAAAACGUUAUAUUGAGUGAAUUCAUCCUAUUAGUGGUGUCUUACGAUGGGUAGUCUGGAACAACGUCCUUAAAGCUUGGCAGCUCUUUGACAUAUUCGUUAUAGAGCCACUUCACUUUGAAGUGCAAGUUCAUGUAGUCGGUGCUCUUGCACAGUCUGUGUUUCUCAUGUUCUGGAUGGACAAAGACACAAACGUGUUUUUAUUAGGGCGGUCAAAUGAUUAAUCACCAAUCACCAUUUGCAGCAAUGUUUGAAAUAUGCCUAUCACUGUAUUUUACAAGUAGAACAAAAUAAAUGACAGGACAACGUUGUAUAUAUUUAACCUAUUGUAUGUUUAUGAACAGCUCUGAAUAAUAAAACAUUGAAUUCAAAUGAAAACAUACAACAGUACAAACUAA